GUUCAGCAGCCUGGUUAUCAGCAGCUCUGGAGGUUGGAGAGGAACUGCAGCACAGGACAGAGGUGUUUCGUAGAGCCCGGUGUCUCUGGUGUUGCUGUUGUCGGAUAAAGAGAGGUCGGAAGACAUGAAGGUCACCAGUAGAAACUCGUGCUGCUGAAGAUUCAACAGCUCCAUCAGCGUCUCUGUGAAAUGGGAUGUAACAGGUCAAGAUGCUGGCUUGGAGCCCGUUCUGACAAACCGGAUGAGGCCGUCACCGAUGAGGCUGAGGGGUUUCUGAAGCAUGCAAGCGACUCUGAAGGUAUUGCAGGCUCAGCUGACGGCAGCUUCCAGGAUCCCCCUCCAGCCAGUAGAGCUCUGCUGGACUUUGCUCAGAGGAUGUCGGAGGACAUUGUCGCUCAGGCUCUGCAUCUCUGCUGGGAGGCAGCGAUCCGAUACGACGAGCUCCCUUUCAUUGACAGUGACGCCGAUUAUGUUAAUGAACCAAAACAUUUCUUUACUUGAAAUCUGCCUGGACAUCCACCCAGGCUGCAUGAAACAGGUGAAGUUCAGAUAUUAGUUUCUGUCCACAGCAAAAAUCUGAGGUGUGGAUUAUUUUAAGACAUUACAACAUGUGUCCACAAAACUUUGUACUGCAAAACAAAAACACCACUUCUGAAACCUUUAAAGUUAUAGUUUAAAGAGUAUAAAGGACAAUUAGAUUAUGACCACUAAAAUCUAGUUCCAGGUACAUUUUACUUCAUGCAUUCUCAUUAGAGCCAUCCCGGGUUUAAAAGAAAAAAUAUGCACGAACAAGGCAGAGCGUCAUUCAGGCUUUCAUCAUAAAAGGCAAAAGAAAAGAAAUAAAUGCAUUUAUCAACACAUUACCUGUGUCUGAAUGUAAAUGCACUUUGGUGGUGAUAAAAGGUAAACAGACUUAAAAAUAUAUAUAUAAAGUGAAUGUGACAUAAUUAAUGUUGUUUCUCAGUACAAUAAAGACAUAUUAUUCAUUGCUCAACUCA